rnacentral:rRNA from 1 species
GAUGAACGCUGGCGGCGUGCUUAACACAUGCAAGUCGAACGAAGCACUGGAUUUGAUUUCCUUCGGGACUGAUUAUCUUGUGACUGAGUGGCGGACGGGUGAGUAACGCGUGGGUAACCUGCCUUGUACAGGGGGAUAACAGUUGGAAACUGCUGCUAAUACCGCAUAAGCGCCCAGCAUCGCAUGAUGCAGUGUGAAAAAGUCCGGUGGUAUAAGAUGGACCCGCGUUGGAUUAGCUAGUUGGUGAGGUAACGGCCCACCAAGGCGACGAGACAUAGCCGGCAUGAGAGAGUGACCCGCCACAUUAGGGCUGAGACGCAGCCCGGAAUCCUACGGGAGGGAGGAGUGGGGAAUAUUGCACAAUGGGGGAAAGGAUGAUGGAGCGACGACGCGUGAGCGAAGAAGUAUUUCGGUAUGUAAAGCUCUAUCAGCAGGGAAGAUAAUGACGGUACCUGAAGAAGAAGCACCGGCUAAAUACGUG